GCAGUCGAACGGUGAUAGCAAUAUCAUAGUGGCGCACGGGUGCGUAACACGUAUGCAACCUACCUUAUACUGAGGGAUAGCCUUUCGAAAGGGAGAUUAAUACCUCAUAACACAUUGAACUGGCAUCAGUUUAUUGUUAAAGAUUUAUAGGUGUAAGAAGGGCAUGCGUCCAAUUAGUUAGUUGGCGAGGUAACGGCUCACCAAGACGAUGAUUGGUAGGGGAACUGAGAGGUUAAUCCCCCACACUGGCACUGAGAUACGGGCCAGACUCCUACGGGAGGCAGCAGUAGGGAAUAUUGGGCAAUGGAGGCAACUCUGACCCAGCCAUGCCGCGUGCAGGAAGAAGGCGUUAUGCGUUGUAAACUGCUUUUAUAUAGGAAGAAAUAGACCUUGCGAGGUAAGUUGACGGUACUAUAUGAAUAAGCACCGGCUAACUCCGUGCCAGCAACCGCGGUAAUACGGAGGAUGCAAGCGUUGUCCGGAUUUAUUGGGUUUAAAGGGUGCGUAGGCGGUUUAUUAAGUCAGUGGUGAAAGACGGUCGCUCAACGAUUGCAGUGCCAUUGAUACUGGUAGACUUGAGUGGGAUUGAGGUAGCUGGAAUGGAUAGUGUAGCGGUGAAAUGCAUAGAUAUUAUCCAGAACACCAAUUGCGUAGGCAAGUUACUAAGUCUCAACUGACGCUGAGGCACGAAAGUGUGGGUAUCAAACAGGA
rnacentral:rRNA from 1 species